rnacentral:rRNA from 1 species
UACGGGGGGGGCAAGCGUUGUUCGGAAUUACUGGGCGUAAAGGCUCGUAGGCGGCCAACUAAGUCGGAUGUGAAAUCCCCAGGCUUAACCUGGGAACUGCAUCCGAUACUGGAUGGCUUGAAUCCGGGAGAGGGAUGCAGAAUUCCAGGUGUAGCGGUGAAAUGCGUAGAUAUCUGGAGGAAUACCGGUGGCGAAGGCGGCAUCCUGGACCGGCAUUGACGCUGAUGAGCGAAAGCUAGGGGAGCAAC